rnacentral:rRNA from 1 species
AUGGCCGCGCCGCCGGAGACGACGGCCGCGCCGUCCCCGCCGGAAGGGGAGCACAAGGGCAACGCGGGCGUCGAAGUCUGCUGCUUCGAGCAAUCUGCAGAAGACUUCUCCAGAGCGGUACGCGCCAUCUCGGAGCUCGCCGCCGGCGACCCCGAGCCGGGGUUCCCCGACGCCGAAGCGGAGCGUCUCGCCUCCUCGAUAACGUUCCUCAGAGAAUGGAAGCAUUUUAAUUAUGAGCCAAAAGGUGUAAGUUUUACUUACGGCACUGGAUCAACUUCAUCCAGAGAUGACACACAUGAGAUUACCUUACCACAGUUCUCGUCUGCAUCUGUUCCUCAGUGCAAAUCAAUGCAGGUCACACAUUUGGAAGAUGGGAGGGAUAAUAAUACAUACAGCUCUGAUUUCAUUUUAUUCGCUGGGGGGAAUGUUUGGUCGUUGGACUGGUGCCCGAGGUUGUGCGACAAGCCUUCUUCUCCCGCAAAUUGCGAGUAUCUUGCUGUUGCUGCUCAUCCUCCUGGUUCUUCCUACCAUAAAAUUGGUAUGCCACUGAUUGGCAGAGGCAUCAUUCAAGUUUGGUGUAUUGUAGCACCCUUUGAAGAGGCACAUACUAAUCAGUCAAUGCUUGCAUACAGUAAUAGCAAUUGUAGAGGAAGGCCUAGAAAAAUACCAAAAGAGAACAAUUCAAUUGAGAGUUCAUCAGUUCCUCGAAAACCAAUAGGGAGACCGAGAAAGAUAAAACUGACGACUGGGGAUGAUCGCACGGAACGUAGUAGUCUGAAAAAACCAACGGAUCAUGCAGAACCUAGUCUGAAAAAACCAAGGGGCAGACCAAGAAAAUAUCCACUGUCAGUUGCCAAAGUGGUAGAUUCAACAAAAAAUAGCGGAAGUCCAGGCUCUAGUUUUGUUGACCCUCUUGCCACUUCAGGAGUUAUUCCAGGCGAUCUUGCAUUAUCUUGUGGUAUACCAUCUGUGCAGUCUGUGGAAUCAGCUCCAAAAAAAGGCAGGGGUAGACCUAGGAAAAUCCCAAUUGACAAAAUAAAGUGUUCGCCUGACACUGAAUGGACAGAAGAUACCUCUAGAGCUCUAAUAUGCUGCACGAAACCAAAGAAAAAGAGGGGGAGGCCCCGGAAAUAUCCACUCCCAAGCAGCAGCAAGCAUGUUUCUGGCACUGAUACUGAAUUUGAAAGAGAAACUGGAUACGCAGAGUCUAAUUCUAAUUUAAGUCUUGUUACAGUUGAUGCAGCAUUACCAGUUCCAUCUCCAUCUCUUACAAUUUGUGGGAAAAGAUCAAGAGGUCGGAAGGGUAGAGGACGACCUAAAAAGGAAACAAAUUGUUGUGCACUUUCUUCGGCAGUGGUUUCUGAUGUCCAAUCGCAGAGUAUGGAGACCAUUUCAAAUGAUCCAGCACACUCUGUUGAGAAUCAUUUGCCAUAUGGACACUCUAACUUGACAAGUGAGCUUUGUUCGAUUAGCAUGCUAAGAUGUGAUGGCAAUGUGCACACAGGCCCCACUUUAGAAGAUUCCUUGCUGCCUAUGCAUAUUGCAGCUAAAUCAAAUGGCGAGGAGUCAAGUGGUAGUAGGAGACGAGGACGGCCUAGAAGGAAGACACUUUCAAAUACAAACAGUUGUUUAUUUGCUUCUGGUACCGAGUCCUCAAAGGCGGCUACUACAAUUACCAAUUCGGACAAUCCCAUGGCUUUGACCAAGAGUGACGGUGAAGCUAUAGCAAGCGAUCUUGCUUCAAUUGGUUCGUUGAGGUGUCAUAUAGGAAAGUGCAAUGUCAAUAUGAGUGCUGCAUCAUCUGAUGCCACAUCACCAACACAUGGCUUGUGUAAUGCAAAUUACAAGGAAAAAUUAAGUGUCCAGCAGACAACUCCCCAGCCAAAUGAUAAUGUGGCCUCAGUCCAAAAUUGCAAGAAAGAAUUAAUUGUCUACACCAGAAGGCGUGUACGAGGACCUACAAAGAAACCUGCUUCAAAUAAGACCUACUCACCGGCUCUUAGUGGUGAUGCUCAGAAGACGGAGAGAUUCUCCACGUAUAUCAUGCCAAAUAAUAAUUUGUCUUCUGUUGAGAAUCCCAAUCUACUGGGUUCAUCUAUAAGUGAAGACAUGGCUAACGAGGCUGGUUUGGUUGGAUGUAAGAGUGCACUUGCUAACCAUGAAGUUGUGGAAAUGAAUGAUAGUGAAGCUGUAAACAAAGUUGCGCCUGUUCCUUCUGAAAACAGUGCCCAGAUCAUUGUUGCGGAAGAUACAGAAGUAGUUCCAUCCAAAGAAUCAAGUAAAAAUGAUAUUAUUACUUGUGCAGAAAACUCAAACUUUUCUGCAAUCCCCAAAGGCAUUCAUCUACCAAGGGUCGUCUUGUGUUUAGCUCAUAACGGCAAAGUUGCUUGGGACAUCAAAUGGAAGCCUCCUUUACCAAAUCAGUCAGAACAAAAAUCACAUUUGGGUUUUCUUGCAGUACUAUUGGGAAAUGGCUCACUUGAAGUAUGGGAAGUUCCAUCUCCAAGCAUGAUCCAGAAAAUAUAUUCCUCUUCUUCAGUGAAGGGCACCGAUCCUCGCUUUCUAAAGCUGCAACCUGUAUUUAGAUGUGCUAAAGUUAAGUGCGGAAACAUACAGAGCAUUCCCUUGACAGUUGAUUGGUCGCCUUAUCCUCAUGAUAUGAUACUAGCAGGAUGUCACGAUGGAACGGUUGCUUUAUGGAAGUUCUCUACAGACUUGCCAUCACAAGAUUCAAAACCUUUUAUGUGUGUCACUGCUGAAUCUGUUCCCAUCAGAGCCCUCUCGUGGGCACCAUAUGUAAGUGAGGAAAACACAAAUAUCUUCGUCACUGCUGGAGAGGAUGGCCUAAAAUUCUGGGAUUUAAGAGAUCCAUACCGUCCUCUGUGGGAACUAACCACUGCCCCAAGGGCUGUUUUAAGUCUUCAUUGGUUAAAGGAGGCUAGAGGUAUUAUCAUCUCACUGGAAGAUGGCACAUUGAAGUUCCUCAGCCUACCUAGAAUUGCCAAUGAUGUUCCAGUCACCGGAAGGCCAUUUGCUGGGACUAAAACUCAGGGCGUUUCUACUUAUCAGUUGUCAGAAUAUUUGAUAUGGAAUGUCCAUGUCUCAGAAAUUACCGGUUAUGCGGCUUAUUGUGUGGCAGAUGGUACUGCUGUGCGCUUCCAGCUUACUUCGAGAUUCUGGGAGAAGGAACCUGGGAGGAACCGUGUGCCCUAUUUCCUUUGUGGUUCGCUAGCAGAGGAGGGAACAACCAUUAAGAUUGGUGGAACAUUGCAAAGCUCUCCUUUGUCAAAUGUUCCUCUGAUUGCAAAGAAGGGUCCAAAACCAUGCCAAAAAGUACCUAAAGCCCACAAUACACAAAAAGAGCAAGUACUAACACUCACCAACUCAGAACAUGUAGAUCCAGAACUUAGAGAGGGUCGACUAGAUGGACCUGGGGAGGGCCAAGAGACUAAUGCUCUGGCUUUAGCCGAUUCUCUUAUGCUAGAGAAUGGUGGCACAUGCAACGUCCCAGUUGAUGAAGACACUAAAGACUUUGAGCUCUUCCCUCCCAAAGCUGUAGCGCUGCAUCAACUGAGGUGGAAUAUGAACAAAGGCAGCGAGAAAUGGUUAUGCUAUGGAGGCGCUGCAGGCAUCAUUCGUUGUCAGAGGAUCUAA